UUUUGUUUUCUGGCUGGUGGUGGUGCAAGGAGGUGGAAAAGAUAAAGAAGCAACCAUGCAGACUCCAAGGGCAGUGAGGGAAGAGAGGAGGUGUGCUGGAAUAGAGACUCCCUUGCAUCCUACUGAGAGGACUGAAGCUGCAAUUGUGGGGAAGAACCCAUGCCAGAGAUGUCCGUUAAGGACUCCAUCCUGUGUGAGGGACCCUGUACUGGCAGAAGCUGUAGCUGCUGGGAAGAACCCACACCAGAGAAGCUCGUUAAGGACUUUGUCCUGUGAGAGGGAUCCCGUAUCAGAGCAGGGGAAGAAUGCAAGGAGUUGUCCUCCUCUGAGAAGAGAGAAGCGGCAGAGCCCAUCUGUGAGAGACUGACCACAUUCUGCAUUCCCUACUCCCCCAUGCUGUUGAGGGGGAAGGAGGUAGAGAUAUCAGGAGCAGUGAGCUGGGCCUGGGAAGAAAGGGGGGAUGAGAGAAGGAGAUCUUAAAGUGCUGGUUGUAAUUUUCUCAUCAUCCUCCUCUCUUUUUGCUUUUGUUCCAUUCUGUUUCUUGUACGUAGUAGAAUAAACUUUCCUAUUUUCCUCUCUUAA